AUUUAUAUAGUUUAUAAAAACAUUGUAAUUUCAGUACAAAGAAAGAUUUUAUCUUAUAAAUA
rnacentral:tRNA from 1 species